rnacentral:rRNA from 1 species
AGCUUGCUUUCUUUGCUGGCGACCGGCGCACGGGUGAGUAACACGUAUCCAACCUACCCUUUACUCGGGAAUAGCCUUUCGAAAGAAAGAUUAAUACCCGAUAGCAUAAUGAUUCCGCAUGGUUUCAUUAUUAAAGGAUUCCGGUAAAGGAUGGGGAUGCGUUCCAUUAGGUUGUUGGUGGGGUAACGGCCCACCAAGCCUUCGAUGGAUAGGGGUUCUGAGAGGAAGGUCCCCCACAUUGGAACUGAGACACGGUCCAAACUCCUACGGGAGGCAGCAUG